AAUAAAAAAAUGUGCCGCUACCCCGCUGGUUUUCACACCUACAGUCACCAUUUGCGCUCUUUCGCUUUUCUUUCCUCCCGCAUGCUCGGCCCUGAAUCAUACUCAGCCCCUUUCUUCUCCUUUCCCGCUCUCCCAAACUGCCCGCCUAUCAAAAAAUGCUUGCGCUUCUUCCCAACAAUUGCCACCUGUUCAAACGCUUUCCACCUGCCCGUGCCUUCGAUCAUGCCCUCACCAGAAAUCUACGUUUUGUACAAUCUACCACUUCAAUGAUAUUGAUCAGGGCAACAUCAAGUUUGCACCGAGACCCGGGUUCAAAUCCCCUUAGAGUCAUCGGAGCGCUUUUGGCGUAAUUACCCGCUCCGUGCGCUGCCGGAGGUUCAUGGAGUCUCGGGAUUAGUCGGGUGAAGCUUAGACACCCGGGUUAGCAAAAAAAAAAAAUGAUAUUGAUCAGGGCUGCAUCGAAACGGCGACUAAUUCUGCAACCUAUCUCUCCCAUGCCAUUAUUCGGUUAUCCUCUACAAAAGCGUUCUUUGACAGCCCUGGUCUGCAUUCUUAGACAGCGUCUUGCCCUCAGUUGACGCAGACCUUCGUAGAGACGUCCGUUUCUGGAUUGCGGAACACAGAGAAGCAGCCGCCUCGCUGGGAAUGAUCUGCCUGAAGCCGGCAGACUAUUUGCAUCAUGGAUCCGCUACUUCACAAACCCAGAGGUCUGACCCCAUCUUUCGUUUAGAGUGCUCGCUUGCUCUUUCACUCUAAUUUAGUGAGAUGGCUAGGCCAAGAGUCGAUGGAUAACUGGAGAAAAAGAGGGGAACGACACUGCAUGAGGGAGAGAAAGAGAAGAAGAGCGGAAGAUCUAAUCGAUUUAUCUGAUUAGAGCACUGCGAUCCAUCUCUGAUAGUCAUUUACUAUCCAAGUGAACUGCAUAUUCUACCCUUUUUAAAAAAAAAAAAAUUCUUCCUGAUCAUAAAAUCUAAUUUUAGUUUUUGUCUUUAGGCCAUUAUGGUACACUUUCUUUAUAUCGCACGCUCAAAAAUUCUAUAUUGAAAAGGUGCACUUAGAGAUGAUGAAGUUCUUUAAACCUUGAAUGUUGUGUUGAAAACAAUGUUGCUGACAAAUGGCAAUUGAUUGUGCGUUUA